rnacentral:rRNA from 1 species
AGUGAACGCUGGCGGUAGGCCUAACACAUGCAGGUCGAACGGCAGCACAGUAAGAGCUUGCUCUUACGGGUGGCGAGUGGCAGACGGGUGAGGAAUACAUCGGAAUCUACUUUUUCGUGGGGGAUAACGUAGGGAAACUUACGCUAAUACCGCAUACGACCUACGGGUGAAAGCAGGGGAUCUUCGGACCUUGCGCGAUUGAAUGAGCCGAUGUCGGAUUAGCUAGUUGGCGGGGUAAAGGCCCACCAAGGCGACGAUCCGUAGCUGGUCUGAGAGGAUGAUCAGCCACACUGGAACUGAGACACGGUCCAGACUCCUACGGGAGGCAGCAGUGGGGAAUAUUGGACAAUGGGCGCAAGCCUGAUCCAGCCAUACCGCGUGGGUGAAGAAGGCCUUCGGGUUGUAAAGCCCUUUUGUUGGGAAAGAAAAGCAGCAGGUUAAUACCCCGCUGUUCUGACGGUACCCAAAGAAUAAGCACCGGCUAACUUCGUG